UACGGAGGGAGCUAGCGUUGUUCGGAAUUACUGGGCGUAAAGCGCGCGUAGGCGGCUUUGUAAGUUAGAGGUGAAAGCCCCGGGGGCUCAACCCCCGGAACUGCCUUUAAGACUGCAUCGCUUGAAUCCAGGAGAGGUGAGUGGAAUUCCGAGUGUAGAGGUGAAAAUUCGUAGAUAUUCGGAAGAACACCAGUGGCGAAGGCGGCUCACUGGACUGGUAUUGACGCUGAUGGUGCGAAAGCGUGGGGAGCAAACAGG
rnacentral:rRNA from 1 species